UACGUAGGCAGCAAGCGUUGUUCGGAAUUACUGGGCGUAAAGAGUGUGUAGGCGGUGCUCCAAGUCUGGUGUGAAAUCUCCCGGCUUAACUGGGAGGGUGCAUUAGAAACUGGAAUGCUAGAGGAUGGGAGAGGUGAGGCGGAAUUCCUGGUGUAGCGGUGAAAUGCGUAGACUAUCAGGAGGAACACCUGUGGUGUAGACAGCUUACUGGACCAUUUCUGACGCUGAGAACACGAAAGCGUGGGUAGCAAACAGG
rnacentral:rRNA from 1 species